AUGUCAUCACCUGAAGACAAAGGCCAGACCAGGACACUAGACACAGCAAAAAUGGAGAUUACAGAAGUAGAACCAGCAGGGCAUCUGGACUCCAGCACUCAGGACAGGCUCACAGCACUGAAAGCAGUAACAAACUUUGGUGCUCCACUUGAAGUUUUUGACUCUGAAGAGGCUGAAGUGUUCCAGAGGAAACUUGAUGACACCACAAGAUUGCUCAGGGAGCUCCAGGAAGCACAGAAUGACAGGCUGAGCACUAGACCCCUUCCCAAUAUGAUCUGUCUCCUGGGCCCAUCAUACAGAGAAAUGCACCUGGCUGAACAAGUGACCAAUAAUUUUAAAGAACUUGCCCAGCAAGUCACUCCAGGUGAUAUUGUGAGCAUGUAUGGAAUAUGAAAAGCAAUGGGGAUUUCCAUUCCUUCCCCCAUUGUGGAGAACAGCUUCGUAGAUCUAACAGAUUUGGAAGAACUUAAGAAGACUGAUGUUGCUGAGUGUGGACCUGACAGGAGCUGAGGCUGUUAUUUGAUUAUAUAUUAUAUACAUAUUUUUUUCAUUCUGAACUUGGAAAUUGUGUGUUUUUUUUUAAGUUUAUUGGUACAUUUUCAGCAUAAAAUAUAGUUACAUUCAUCAUUGGGAUCUUGUACCAUUACAUGAGUCUCUUGGUUCUUAUUUUUUUUUCCCCCUUCCCUUGCGCUCCCCUUCACCCAUUCCACCCUUCCCUAUUUGCAAAGACCUUUUUUCCAUUUUUUUCCUCUUCUCAUAUUUUUUCCUUUCCUUUUUUUCCCUUCUCCUACCCCUCCCAAUUCCCCUGCUCUUUUAGACCUUUUCUUCCUGUUAUACNNNNNNNNNNNNNNNNNNNNNNNAUAUUAAGAUCUAGGAGACAUUACCACAGAUUUUACAGAAUUUAAAAGGAUAUAGAAAAAGCAUAUUACAAAAUUUUGUUUUGAAAUAAAUUUGACAACUGCUAAAAAGGACCUUGGAAGACAAAUUAAUGAAACUAACUCUGGAGGAAAUAUAAAAUUUGAAUAGCACCUAUUAAAGAAAGUAUAUUCCUAGCUUGAAAACCUACCUAGAGGACAACAGCAGGCUCAUAAACAUUUUAACUGAUAAAUUAUAUC
rnacentral:lncRNA from 1 species